rnacentral:pre_miRNA from 1 species
AGUGUGACUGCUGGGUCAUAUGGUAAGAAUAUAUUUAGUUUUGUAAGUAACUGCCAAAAUGUCUUCCAAAGUGAUUGUACCAUUUUGCAUUCCCAUCAGCAGU